UCACUGGGCUUCUUGUUCUACAGAGGUUGACAGAAGCUGCAGUUUACAGGGGCAUUUUCCCCCUCCCCUUCCUGUUGUUUGCUUAUGGAAAAUAAGUGGGAGUGACAAAAGAAAGAAAAAAGAAAAAGAAGAAGAAAAGGGAAACACAGGGAGGCACCACGGGCCAGAGUGCAGAAAGAGUCACCUUGCCUUCUAUGAUCAUUAACCUUGCUAGAAAGAGGCAGCUGGCAGCUCUCCGCUGAAGCUUGUCUUUAGAAUGUGAGCUGAGCCAGAGACACUGCAGACACAUUUCCGGAAGGGUGUCUUGUUUGCUGCAAGUGUUAUAAAUAUUGGAUCCACACAGAGAGGGUGCCUGCCUGCAACAUGAGACUCCAACAGCUCCUUCUGACCUGGUUUCUGCUCCUGGCUGGAGCUCUCCUGAUUAACGGACAGAGGCCAGCUAACCUGGCCUCAAGGCGAAAACUGCACAGACACCACUGUUCCCACAGGAGAUGUAUGCCUCUUCAUUCCCGAGUGCCCUUCCCUUGAGAUGCCAGAAAGACGAAUGCAAUGAAGCCCAAAUAAUGAAAUUUGAAAUACUGGAAUCUACAAAUGUAUCCCAUGAACUAUCAUCAGAAAACAUUCCAAAAUCCUAUUAACAGCCUGCUGGAUCAAACUGCCAGAGUUUUGGACUUCUCUAAAUAGGAAGAAAACAACAAGAACUGAAGUGAUCCUGUCUGGGAACUCUGGAGAAGUAUCCAUGCAAUAUGAUAAGCUAUUCUCUGCACAGCAACACAGCCCUAAUAUAUCCCCAAAUUGCAAACUUUACAUACAGUAUUUGAACCAUUAUCAUGUCAUUUAAAGAACUACUGGUGUGUCAUAAGUGUUUAUUAACCAUCCACAUGUUUUUAACACCCAGCUAAGAAGUGUGUGUGAAGCAAUUGUUCCAUAAACAAUAUGAUCAUAUAGUAUUCAUAUAAAAUGCAUAUUGGAUGUUGACAGCUACAGUUAAUGUUCCCAGUAUUUCAAGAGUAGGAUGGUUUCUGUUGACAUCCCUAGAUGCACACUUGCUAUUUAUGAGAAAAUUCACUGACAUUAAGUCAUCUUAACUGAAAGGUCUUACGAGCAAAUUUGAGACUUACUUUGGAGUUCCACUCAUUUCACAUACAUUUCUGAUAAGAUUUUGCAGGAAGAGAGUCUUAACAGUCUCUUAGUCUCUUCCUUAAAACGUAUUAUGGUUACAUUUGUACUGAUUUUAACACAUGUAUCGCCCUUCUAGAGCAGAUGUUUAGCUUCAGUUUGUUCUUUAAAGCAUGCUUGUAACUGUACAUGUUGUUAAAAUUGUACCUUCAAAACAGCAUUGUCGUAUUAAAUCUUUGUACAUUUUAUAAUUUUUUUAUUCUGUACAUGGAAAUGACCCAAAUAUAAAGACAAGUGAAGUAUUUGCCUAAUUUGUUUAUAAAUUUCAUAAGGGGUCAAUGUAAACUUUAAUAACCUAUAUAGCUAAAUCAAAUAUAUCACAAACAGUGUGUUUUGUUUUAUUUUAAGGCACAAUACUGAUAGAAUGUAACCAGUGAAUGACAUAUUUAAUGUGUAGAUUGUUUGGCUCUAGAUUCAAGGAAAGAUCUAUGUUAAUGUUCCACUCCUACCAGUAAUAUUGGUUGCUUGUGUUUUCCCAGGCCUAAAUUAGAUUACUGGAAUAGGACUUUAUAUCCUGAAAUUAUUUUGGUCCAGGUUAACAGAAGAUAAGCUCACAUCCCUGAGGUCCCAUCUACACAGCCAUAUAAAAUCCAGAAUAUCUGCUUUGAACUGGAUUAUAUGGCAAUGUAGACCCCUGGUGGAGCAGCGGAUUAAACCGCUGAGCUGAUGAACUUGCUGACUGAAGGGUCGGUGGUUUGAAUCCACAGACCUGGGUGAGCUCCCACUGUUAGCCCCUGCUUCUGCCAACCUAGCAGUUUGAAAACAUGCAAAUGUUAGUAGAUCAAUAGGUACCGCUCCAGUGGGAAGGUAAUGAUGCUCCAUGCCAUCAUGCCAGCCACUUGAUCUUGCAGGUGUCUAUGGACAAUGCCGGCUCUUCGGCUUAGAAAUGGAAAUGAGCAUCACCUCCCACUGUCAGACACGACUAGACUUAAUGUUCAGGGGAAAUUUUUACAUUUAUCUUUAGACUCAUAUAAUCCAGUUUAAAGUAAAUAAUGUGGAUUAUCUGAUUUGAUAAUCUGGAUUAUAUGGCAGUGUAGAAGGGGAGUGAGACUUGCUAAGACACCCCCACUCAACCAAUAAGAAUCUGCUUUCUAGACUGUUAAUAAGAAAUGUUAGAUUGACUGAUGCCAUGAAGUUAAUAACGGAACCUCUGGGUAAUCCUAUCCUUUAUGAAAUGUAUGUGGCCCAUCAUUUUUGUAAAAUUUAAAGAACAAAUUACACACAUUUGGAUUUGA